rnacentral:rRNA from 1 species
AGGGAAACCGAGUCUUAAUUGGGCGUUAAGUUGCAGGGUAUAGACCCGAAACCCGGUGAUCUAGCCAUGGGCAGGUUGAAGGUUGGGUAACACUAACUGGAGGACCGAACCGACUAAUGUUGAAAAAUUAGCGGAUGACCUGUGGCUGGGGGUGAAAGGCCAAUCAAACCGGGAGAUAGCUGGUUCUCCCCGAAAGCUAUUUAGGUAGCGCCUCGUGAAUUCAUCUCCGGGGGUAGAGCACUGUUUCGGCUAGGGGGCCAUCCCGGCUUACCAACCCGAUGCAAACUGCGAAUACCGGAGAAUGUUAUCACGGGAGACACACGGCGGGUGCUAACGUCCGUCGUGAAGAGGGAAACAACCCAGACCGCCAGCUAAGGUCCCAAAGUCAUGGUUAAGUGGGAAACGAUGUGGGAAGGCCCAGACAGCCAGGAUGUUGGCUUAGAAGCAGCCAUCAUUUAAAGAAAGCGUAAUAGCUCACUGGUCGAGUCGGCCUGCGCGGAAGAUGUAACGGGGCUAAACCAUGCACCGAAGCUGCGGCAGCGACACUGUGUGUUGUUGGGUAG